CUCUCCCUCCCAGACCCUCCCACCUCCUGGACAGCAUCCAUUUUGAAGCUGCAUUCUUAGUGAGCUGUCCAGGAGGUGGGAGGGUCUGGGAUGGAGGG
rnacentral:miRNA from 1 species